UACGAAGGGGGCGAGCGUUGUUCGGAUUUACUGGGCGUAAAGGGCGCGCAGGCGGCCGCUCAAGUCAGGCGUGAAAGCCCCGGGCUUAACCUGGGAACUGCGUCUGGGACUGAGUGGCUAGAGUUCGGAGAGGAGAGUGGAAUUCCCAGUGUAGAGGUGAAAUUCGUAGAUAUUGGGAAGAACACCAGUGGCGAAGGCGGCUAUCUGGACCGGUACUGACGCUGAGGUGCGAAAGCGUGGGGAGCAAACAGG
rnacentral:rRNA from 1 species